UACAGAGGUCCCAAGCGUUGUUCGGAUUCACUGGGCGUAAAGGGUGCGCAGGUGGGUUUGCAAGUUCGAUGUGAAAGCCCCGGGCUCAACCUGGGAAUUGCAUUCGAGACUGCAUUGCUGGAGUACGGAAGAGGAAGGCGGAAUUCCCGGUGUAGCGGUGAAAUGCGUAGAUAUCUGGAGGAACACCGGUGGCAAAGGCGGCAUCCUGGACCAACACUGACGCUGAGGAGCGAAAGCGUGGGGAGCAAACAGG
rnacentral:rRNA from 1 species